rnacentral:rRNA from 1 species
GACGAACGCUGGCGGCGUGCCUAAUACAUGCAAGUAGAACGCUGAAGGAGGAGCUUGCUUCUCUGGAUGAGUUGCGAACGGGUGAGUAACGCGUAGGUAACCUGCCUGGUAGCGGGGGAUAACUAUUGGAAACGAUAGCUAAUACCGCAUAAUAGCAGUUGUUGCAUGACAACUGUUUGAAAGGUGCAAUUGCACCACUACCAGAUGGACCUGCGUUGUAUUAGCUAGUUGGUGGGGUAACGGCUCACCAAGGCGACGAUACAUAGCCGACCUGAGAGGGUGAUCGGCCACACUGGGACUGAGACACGGCUCAGACUCCUACGGGAGGCAGCAGUAGGGAAUCUUCGGCAAUGGACGGAAGUCUGACCGAGCAACGCCGCGUGAGUGAAGAAGGUUUUCGGAUCGUAAAGCUCUGUUGUAAGAGAAGAACGAGUGUGAGAGUGGAAAGUUCACACUGUGACGGUAUCUUACCAGAAAGGGACGGCUAACUACGUG